CACCGGAAGUUCUUCGGAGCCACUUGGUAUGCCAUCUGAAAAUUGCAGAACCUCUCCAAAAUCUUCAAAUUCUGCUUCUUUUCUCCUGUACUUGCAGUGAAGGCUUAGUUUUCCUUUACUGAGUUCUGUUACGAAGUUUCCUUUCGUUUUGUCUAGAUGAGUUAAUAAUGAGGAGUCGAGAUCAGUCAAUAUCCGACUAUGUUGUAAUGUUUUUCAGAUUUGUAACCUCUGGUGAAAUACGAAAGCGUUCCAAGUUCUUCAAACCCUUUAUUUUUGGAUUAAUAAAUGCAACAGUGGAACAGGUUUGUUGUAUUUAAAUUUUUUGUAUGCUCACUAGCACUUGACAUCCUUUCAUGCAUUAUCAGGAAACGAUUGUUCUUUCUUUUUGAGUUCUUUCCCCUUUAGAACAACAGUGCAAAUAAGAGUUGUAACAUAUCCUUUUGGUUAGUAGUAAACGAUCUCAAUUUUCUUUUAUCAUCUUUUACAUAUUAUUUUUGCUGCCUUAAGAUUAAUGAAAGCUAAUCGAACCAUAACAUCACUUCAUUUACACGAUUCUCAUGUUCAAAGGGAGACUUGUAACCAGCAGCACUGUACAGCAGAAAGCGGCCACUGUGUUGAAUGGAGGCUGAUGAUUUAUCCCUACCAGUGCCUUUGAGGCUUUUCUUCAAGGCUGAUAGUUGAACAGAGAUGUUGGAGUCAUCCAUGAAACCUCCAAAUCUCCUCACAGCUGCAUAUUUGUGUUGAGGCAACUCCACUGGCUGUGCUUCAGCUGAUAGGGGAGGGGUUCUUUGGAAUUUUUGGGGCACGUAAAAGUGAACUACAUAGGUUGAAUUCUGGAGAUGUUCUGUCCUUGGAUGUAUAUUAACCAAAACUGGUGCUGUCAUAUUCAUUUUCACUGCUGCAUCAUUGUUGCCCCGGAUGUAAGCAAAGAGACUAACCAUGGAAAACAAAUCGGAAUUAGAAAUAGAAUGAGGAUGAUUAAUGUGAAACAACAAAUAUAUAUAUAUAUAUCACUUUUUUAUGAAUUUAUACUUCAAACAAAAUAA